rnacentral:rRNA from 1 species
GGUUAAGCGAACAAGCGUACACGGUGGAUGCCCUGGCAGUCAGAGGCGAUGAAGGACGUGCUAAUCUGCGAAAAGCGCCGGUAAGGUGAUAUGAACCGUUAUAACCGGCGAUGUCCGAAUGGGGAAACCCGGUGCACUUCGGUGCAUCAUCGUUAGCUGAAUACAUAGGCUAACGAGGCGAACCGGGGGAACUGAAACAUCUAAGUACCCCGAGGAAAAGAAAGCAACCGAGAUUCCCCCAGUAGCGGCGAGCGAACGGGGAACAGCCCAGAGCCUGAAUCAGCUUGUGUGUCAGUGGAACGGUCUGGAAAGGCCGGCGAUACAGGGUGACAGCCCCGUACACGAAGGCACACAGGCUGUGAGCUCGAUGAGUAGGGCGGGACACGUGAUAUCCUGUCUGAAGAUGGGGGGACCAUCCUCCAAGGCUAAAUACUCCUGACUGACCGAUAGUGAACCAGUACCGUGAGGGAAAGGCGAAAAGAACCCCGGCGAGGGGAGUGAAACAGAACCUGAAACCGUGUACGUACAAGCAGUGGGAGCCUUCGUAAGAGGGUGACUGCGUACCUUUUGUAUAAUGGGUCAGCGACUUAUAUUCUGUAGCAAGGUUAACCGUAUAGGGGAGCCGAAGGGAAACCGAGUCUUAACCGGGCGUUAAGUUGCAGGGUAUAGACCCGAAACCCGGUGAUCUAGCCAUGGGCAGGUUGAAGGUUGGGUAACACUAACUGGAGGACCGAACCGACUAAUGUUGAAAAAUUAGCGGAUGACCUGUGGCUGGGGGUGAGAGGCCAAUCAAACCGGGAAAUUGCUGGUUCUCCGCGGAAGCUAUUUAGGUAG